rnacentral:lncRNA from 1 species
UAUGUGUGCAAGCAAGCCAGAGUGUGCCAGAGGAGUGCUGGAGCUCCCAGCUUCCCUUUCUAGAUGAAAUUGCUGAUGCUGUAGGGAUCUUUUCAGCAAAGACCUUGGCAAAAUAAAUAGAGGGUUAAAGGAGGACGCUAGUGGUUAUUUGGAAAUGCAUAGGAUUUAACCAUGUCAGAGAUUCAAAUCUCUGUAAAAUUCUAGAACACUGAACCUAGACUUCAUGAACUGAAGAUAUAUAGGCAAGGUAAUGAGCAUCCAGCAGGAGAAGGGGACGUGUCCAAAACAGAAACGAAGGUGCUUGGAUUGUUCUUGGAAGAGAUGGAUGGAAUAUAUAUAUAUAUAAAUUGAGCCCUGAAUAAUCUUUGAGAUUUGGACUAGCGGAAAAAAUGGAGAAGAUGUGGUAGUGUCUUGGGGGACCCCUAUAAGGCUUCAGAAUGAAAGGCUUCCAGGACUGUGGGGGAGGGAUGGCUGCUGUUAGACACAAAUAGGUUUGAAUCCACCAGCAUGGAGCAAAAUGAAGAACACUGAACUAGAGAAUCACCGGAUUUAGCUUCAAAUCUUAACUCUACUAUGACUUUAGAAAAUUCUCUUAAUUUCUCUGGGUUUGUUUCCAUCCUUUGAACUAAGGAGAUUGGCCUAGGUUAUAAGUCUAAUAUCUCUUUGAGUUUUAAAUUUAUUGUUUCACCUGCAUAUGCAGGUAUCCAGUUUGUCUCUCUGUCUCUCCAAAAAAGAUGUUAUACAAAUAUAUAUUUCAUCUGGAUAUCCACUAGCUAUCUCUUAUUCAAUAUAGGUACAGUAAAAAUUUUUUUCUUCCCUCUGUCCCAAAAAUAUACAUCCUACAGCUUCCUGUGACUGUUGAAGAAACUACCAUCUUCCUAGUCGCCCCGCUUCACAAUCUCAACUUGACAUUAAAAGCUCUGUGGAACUGGGCUCCCCCCUUCCUUUGCAGAUUUUUUUUUCUACUCACCUUCACACAUGUUCUGGACAAAAUGACUUAUUACAAGAGAUCAGUGUUACAUUUCCCACUUUCAUACCUUCACAGAGGCAGUUUUCUGAUUCUGGAACACAUUCUCUUUUAUUCUGUCUGGUCGACUUCCUAACUUCCUCUGAGGAUCUGCUUAUGUGCCAAUCAGCCUUUUUCUGCUCCUCUCAUUUCUUAGACUUUUAUUUGGGAUACCCCAUUGCAGAGCUUUGCUAUGUGGCACCAGUCAAUAUGGAUGAGGUUGGGAGCAGAAGCAGGGUGGGCAAAGGAGACCUUGUUUAGAAUGUAAUAUGUAGAGGAGGUAGAUCAAGGAGAGAAGUAUUAUAAAUAAUAACUAUAAUAUCUACCUGGCAGAGUUCUUAUGAGGUUCAGGUGGGAUCAUGCAUAUAAAGUGCUUUGUGAAUCUUAUAGCACCAUAAAAAAAUCAGCCAUUGUUAUGAUUAAGCAUUUUUUAAUAAGGCUUUCAUAAAUGUGCAUAUUUUAAUUCUGGAAAAUCCUGUUCUUUAUGGUAUACAAGUAUUUAUUUUUUGAUAAAUUUGUGAAAGCUCAAAGCCCCCAGGAGACAGUAACCUGCAGGGGCACAUAAUUUUCAAAGAAAAGCAGAUCAAUGUUGAAAUCUGGCUUAGGAUCCAUAGAUGCUUUGUCAUGUACAGUAGAGCACUGUUUUGGAGUCAGGGCAACCUGAGUUUAAAUCUGGAUUCAGACAUUUCCUAGCUGGGUCACCCUGGGCAAGUCACUUAAUCUUUGUUUGCUAUUGUUGUUUUAGAAUGAAACAUGAAGUGGGAAGGACAAAUAGAAACAUUAUAACAACUGUAGUGUUAAAGGUAUCAUUUGAAAAAGACCUGUGAUUUUUUAAAAAUGAAGUAUUAACUUUAGUUAUGACUUUCCUAUGCUAUAAUUGCAUCGCUGAUUUUUUUAUCCCAAGUGAAGGGCUUUAUAUUUAGAAUUAAUAAAUUUCAUCUUAUUAGAUUUUACCCAUCAUUUCAGCCUGUCCCAGUCUCUUAGAUCUUGACUCUAUUAGCCAACUUUAUGUCAUUUCUAACUCUGAGGAGCUUAAAAAUCAAUGUUUUUAUCCAAGUCUUUGAUAAAAAUGUUGAAGAGAAAAAGAGUAAGAACAAAGUUUUCUGGGCUCCAUCUGAAACUCUUCCCAGGCUAACAGCAAUUCAUUGAUCAACGGUAGAUCAAGACAAUCAAUCCAUUCUAAAUCUUUCUAACUUUACCACCAUCUAGUCCACAUCCUAUAGAAUCAUAGAAUCACAGCUUCUAGUGUUGGAAGUAAUCUCAGAGGUCAUUUUGUCCCACUGAUACCUGAAUAAGGAUCCCCCUUAAUAAAGGGUGCAAAUGUUUAUCAUUUGGAGACUUCCAGGAUGGGAGAAGCUACACUACCUUUCAAAAUACUUCAUUUCACCUUUGGACAGCUCUAAUUGUUAGAAAGUUUUUCCUUUGAUUGAUCUUAAAGGUUUUCCUCUUCAGCUUCUCUCCCCCCCUGCUCUGCCCACUCCCCCACCCCCAGUCCUGUCCUCCUGGGGCUAAGACUAACUGGGGCUAAUCUAAUCUCUAUUCCACAGAGCAGGCCUGUAAAUACUUGAAGGUAGCUAUUAUAUUCUCCUUUACACUUUCAUGAAUCUUUUCUUUUCUGGUUAAACAUCCCCAUAUCAUUCAAUUUGUUGUCAAGCAGCAUAAUCUCUAGGCACUCCAUUGGGCAUUUUUUUUUAGCAUUGCAAUGUCCUUCCCAAAAUGUGACACAUUCUCCAUUUUUCACACUAUUAUGUUGUUAAGAGACUUGGCUAGAUAAUUCUUCCUUGAGGAUUUAACACUUCAAACACCUACAAUUUCACUUCUUCAUUUAAGAAAUUAAUUCCCAAACCAUCUGAAAUUUAGUAAAUGGUCUUUGAGAGCUGCUAAUGCCCAAACAACUCAUUAGCUUGUGCGGAACUUGGUAAUGAAAUUCUCCAAAUUAAGUUGAACUAGUGCUUGAAACUCGGGCCUGGAGUCAAGAAAACCUGAAUUGCAACCUGGUUUCAGAAUCUCAAACUGCGGGACCCUAAACAAGUCACUUCACAAGAGUCUGCCUCAGUUUCCUCAGUUGUAAAAUGAAGAUAAUAAUAGCAACUGCCUUGCAGAGUUGUUGUGAAGAUCAAAUGAAAUAAUAUUUAUAAAAUACCUGUAUCAUAUUUGGUACUUCACAAAUACUUGUUCUCUUCUCCCUUUUCCCUUAGGAAAACAAGUUAUUACUGAUGCAGGAAAGAUUCCAAUCUUUGAUUCUCAACCCCCCCUAGCUAAUGUAAAUUACCCUUUGACUCACAAAUCCUGGUCCAUUUGAAUUCCAAUAGAAGGUCCGGACCUGUCCCAGCCCCACCCGGAUCUGAGCCAACUUUGGGGCUACAUCCCAAAGCCCCUCGAGCUAAGUCUCCGACUUAAAAGGACCACACUAGGAACCCCUCUUUGCAGAGAUUCCAAACAUGGUCGCCAUGUGAGGACACUCUGUCCACUGGACCCUCUGUCCAGUGCCCUCCUUAUCUCUACCAUCACCUAUCUCCUACUUCUAAACUCAGUAAUAAACCUCUUUUAUUAAUCUAGCUCUCUGGGCCAAUAAAUGCUUUUAUUGGGAAUUCUGCGCAUUUACCCGCUACUAGACCUCAAGUACCACCGUAUCCUUGCGCCGAAUCUAAGGGGGUUGCAGGGGAACUCUGUUUGACUCCCUGUACCCCAAACCUGCCACUAGACCUUAACUAAACCCUAAUUUCAUUUAGGUACCCCAAGUGUAGACCUCAACAUGUGGUCUACACCUCAACAUUUGUUCCUGACCUCAACAUUACCAGGCCACUCUGGGAAGGCCUUCUGCUCCAUGAGAUCUUCCAGAAGGUGCAUCUGACCUUGAAAAACUCAGGAUCACUUUCAGGAUCACCACAAGGAGAUUUUGAGGUUUUAGAAAUGCAAUUGUGGUAUUAUUGUAAGAGACUUUAUAAGCUGUCCUAAUGAAAUUCAAAUAUUUCCCUAAUAUGCUCAUUUAGUAACCAUGAUAAAAAAAGAGAAAAGGGGAAAAAAAAAGAAUUUCCAUGGUGUGCUAAAGCUCUUUUAUUACUUUUUCUUUUUUCCUUCUCAUCAGAAUCAUUUUUGUUUGCCUUGUCAAAACUUUAUUUUUCUAUCCUUUUGGAGUACACCUGUAUCCUAUUUGCUUUUUGUCUUCCUUGUACACACCUCCUUUGCUCCCAAUCCCUUUCCCUUUCUUCCACUAGAGUCCUUUUUUUCUCUGAAUUCCUUGAAAUUUGUUGCCCUGAAUUCUUAGAUAUACAUCAGCCUCUGUUAGUGUAACUAUCCUUUUCUUUUUUAAUUACAAAGUUUAAAAAGGCUGACCAUUGUCUUCUCAGAUUUCUGUCAUUUCCAUUUUACCAAACAAUUUCUCCUUAUUAAUUAGAAUUGGGUCUAGAUUUUCUGUUCUCCUCAUUGCUUCUGCUACUUCUGAAAGAGGAAAUUAUUGUUGAGUCAAAGAAGAAAAAAUGUAUUAGUUAUCUAGUUUUUAAUACAGAGAGUUGAAGUAUACCACCACAACUGUAUCUUGCCUCUGGAUAAGCCUUUCGAUUUGCAACAGGUUAUCAUCAAUGUUCUUCUUCUGGAUAGACAGGUAUAUAAUAUAAUAUAAUCCUGUCAUAACAUGGCUUCUGUAUCUUUCUGCUUUGAUUCUUACACAAAAGGUCCCCAUCAAAUUUUGUUUCUCUUGUCCUAGGAUUUCCAUCCCUUUUAUUUAACCUAGUACUUUUGGACAAGAUGAUCCUAUUCCAUUCAUAUAUCUUAAUUCACAAUUUCAGUACUGUCUAUGAGGUAAAAUUUAUCACCUUGUGUUGAGACUGAAAUCUGUUUGUUACCCAGAUUUUCUCUCUAUAGGUAUGUAUUACCCAGGACCAUGAGUAUUCUAGGGAGUUGAAUAGCCUGGUAGACAGACCAGAUACCACAUUAUAUCUUAGGUGUUUAUCAGUUGUAUGACCCUGUGCAAAUAAUUUAACCCCUUAAUCUCAAUUUCCUCAUCUAUAAAAAUAAUAAUAGCAUCAAUAUCACAGAAUUAUAAGGAGAAUGAAACAAGAAAACAUUUAUGACAUUUUGAAAACCUUAAUUUGUUGUUGUCCCUUUUCUCAGGAUUGGGUCUACUUCAAACUAAUUUUUGUUAGGUGAAUUCAGAAACUUGGGAAAGGCCUUUUAGCUGGUCAGCCAAAAAUUAAAAGAGAGUUUAUGUAAUAUGGGAACUUUAUUUCAUCUAGUGGAACUGGCCAUGUAAUUAACUUUCGUUUGGGGUACCUCCCAGAGUCCCUGGGCUCUCUUUCUAUUCACAUAUUUCUAUUUCAAGGACAUUCCAGAUCCAGAACCUAUGGCAUUAAGGGAUUUGUUCUCUCACCUCUCAGAGAGACCAGAAGGCUGGAACCAACACCUGGUUCUCAGAUACGAAGAAUUCAUUACCUUAGGACCUCUUUCAAUCUCUCUGACAUUUUUCAAGUCCAAGAUGAUCUGAAAUCAAAGACAGUACUGAGGGAAAGUCUUUUUUGAAUUACAAAGCUGCUUCUCUAUCUUAUAGCAACCCUUACAGACAGUGAAUGACAUCUGAGUUUUUCCCCAAAACGCCUUCCCUCUACUACUUUUACCUCAUGUGACUGAGUUCUAGAACCAAUUCCUACUCUGCUCUCAGGAACAUCUGAGAUCAACUUAACUUCAAAGGAGCUAAUAUGGACUUUCAAAGAGUUCUUAUUGAAGAAACCAAAAAAAAGUACCUCAGGAGAAAAGAUGGGAAAAAAGUAGAGUUAGAAAACAAGAAUGUGUAGAGGGAAGAACAAGAGGAAGGAUCAGAGGGGAAAAAACAAUCAAAAAAGAUUAAAGAGGAAAAAAAGAGAAGUGGGAAGAUAAAAAGUGAAGACAAUACUGAAGAGAAAGAAAGAUCAGAGUGGUGGGUAAAGGAGAAAUUGCCUAACAUCUUUGGAGGCAGGACAGAUCAAUUUCAUCUGGAAGGAACCUGAGGUAUCAUUCAGUCAACUCUUUAUUUUAUAGAUAAGAAUAUGGUGGUAAGUAACUGAGUUGGUAUUGGAGCUCCGAUCAAAAACCUCUAUUGUUUCUACCCCACUAUAAUUCCAGUGUCCCUUUCAUGACUCUAGGACCUGUCCACAUGAAGUGAAAAGCAGAGACUUCUAUUCUAUAAGCAAUAGGUGCCUUUUUACCUUGUAUAUGUGCUGCCCUUCCAGGAUAUCAUUUUUCUCUCUCAUCUUUCUAGACUGCCCCAUAGGAGCAUAAAGGAUGCUUGACCUCACCUAGUAGCAAACUAAAGAGCAAAGACAUUCAGUCUGCUGGUCUUAAUUAGUAUACACUAUUAACCGUACCAUGAUCAUUUUGUUCUCCUCCUUAGAAGUUCUGACAAGUUAAAGAUUUUCAAAGACAAAGGCUGCUUAGAGGCAAUGAGUGUCUGAGGUUAAAGGAAUAGAGAGUAGCCAGCUCCUGCACAGUCCUGCUGUCUCUCACCUCUGUCUGAAGGAAUAUCCAUGGCAGGUAGAUUUUCUGUAUCAUAAGGGCAAAAGAGAUCAAAUAUCUCUUUUCUUAAUGUAGUGCUGGAGGGUAUUGUUGCUAAAUUUAAUAUCAUGAUGUCAGCCCCAGUCCUUUCCAUGAACAUCCCAUGGAAUCUCCCCACAGGAGUCAAAACCCCACAGGGUUUUGAGACUUUACAUAGCAUCUUGUAAAGAAAGAGGUGUGAGGGGAGGAGCAGAAGAAAGAAAAUAAUCUCUGUCCAUUAAAGAUCCAAAGCCAAAAUGAAGGGAGGUAUAAAGACCCUUGUCAUGGGCUUCAUUCACAAUCUAAAAUAACAAUUUAUUACUCCCACCAAAUUCUAUUUUAGCAAUAUUUAUUUUAGGCAGGUAUGAUCAUUGAACUUAAAGAAUCACUCAGACACUUUCCUAUACACCCUUCCCCCCACCAUGUUAGAAAUGACAAAUCAGGAUGAGAGAAGCAUAGUCAUUUGUCCAAAGUCAUCCUGCCAAUUAAAGGCACAGCCAGGAGUAACACUUGGGUCAUUAACAGGCAUCUACUAUCCAGGGAUACUUAGCUAAACAUAGAGAAGAUGCAAAGUCAGGCUAUGUCAUGGUCUUUUCUCUCAUGGAACUCACAGUCUAUUAGAAAGACUGGACAAACAUAUGCAUUAUUCUCUCAGUCUAGUGUUCUUUUAACAUUCAUAAUUUACCUUCUUCACCUUUCUAUUCCCAAAUAUCAUCCAAGAUUCAAACUGCCAGAAAUUUUACCAAUUAGAGAUUCAUUUGAAUUAAGAAUCCUCUUUAAAAAUAAAAAUGCCCCUAGGAAGGUUAAACAACCAGCUAUUACUACUUUAGUGUAGAUUUCUUUAAUCAGCUGGAUUUCCUCUCAACACUUCUCUGAGAUUUGCUAUAUGAAGGGAGUAAGACUUUGGGAAGGUCAUUUUGCAAAAUAGAGGAAUGUGUGCUGGUAAAUGUUUAACAACUGCCUUGGGGGGAUAGUAUAUGUAAACACACUUAAGUUUAAUCUGUAUUAUUAACAUUUUAUCCAUCACUUAUUUAAGUCUAGACAAUUAAAAAAAAUAAAUCAAGCUCUGAUGUGUAACAUUUUCUGAUUUUCAAGGUAUAAAUGCUUACACUAAAAAUUUAACAAUAUGAACUAAUAAACUAGUUCAAGCUAGUUCCAACAUAUCCUUGCAUAUAGAGAGUAUGUAAGAUAGGCAAAUUUGAGAAGAAUAACUCAAUGGGGGGGGGAGGGUUUAGUAAUCAGAGGAAAGGAAGAAGGUUUUGGGCAACUACUGAUGAGAAAUGAGCCACAUUUCAUAGCAGGAGAUGCUCAGAAAAGAAGGAGAGGUAAUAUCAGAGACAAGUUUUUCUCUGCAUACACUCUUCUAUUUUUUUCAUCUGUUGAAUUAUAUACCUCAAAUACUAUCUCUUCCAUGAAUUAAGCUUUCCCUGAUUUUUUACUCAUUCCCACUUCUGCAUCCGAAGUAGUAAUGAUAUUCCCUUUAGAAGUUAUGUAGCCCUUUGCACUAUUCUAAUGCACAUAUCCUGUAAUAUUGUGUAUAGUAAUUAUCUUUUUGUAUAUUAUCCCUCCAAUCUCACCUCAUAAGCUUCAUUAGGACAAGGAGGAGUUUUAUGAAACUUUUUAAAUUAAUCUAGCUUAGCAUAACCUGCCAAAAAUAGGCCCUAAAUUAAUACUUGUUAACGUUGAAAUUGAGAUUUAAAACACUUCAUUUUUAUUACCUUAGACAUUUAAUUUCUUUUAAAAAUGAAAAUGCCUACAGAAGGUGUGUUGAGGGAUACUGAAGACUUGAUAACACAAAAAAGUAAAUUGCUAAUGGUAAAAUUCUUAGGUACCUGUGGCACUGAAAGAGCUUUUUGUAGCAGGAAAACCUUCUUGAGAUUUUUCAAAUUAUAUUUAGAAACAGCAACCCAUAAGAUUAAUCCUGCCUAGAAGCCAUGAAAUCCCCUUGGACUUGGAGGUGACCAUACUCUGAUUCCUUUUAAUCUCCAGCCAUCUUGAUUCUUCUUCCCUACCUCCUGUUGCCUUCCCUGUUGUCUCUUUUGGAGGGUAUGGCUGAUAUGAUUCAAGGAGAUCAUUCAACAUGAAGAAGAUAUUGCUCUCCAUGUACAACUAAAAAAAAAAAAAAACAAAAGCUAUUGUCCUUGCCAUUUCCCUCACAUGCAACAAUUACAUCCCAUCCAUUUUGCAUGACUAAAGCUCACCAUGAUUAAAGCAAGAUAUAUAUGGGAUAAAGGUGGAUUCCUUGGGAUUCAGCACUAAAUUAGCAAAAUGAGAAGAAAAAAAGAGGCUAUACUGACUUUAGGGUUCUUUAGUAGCCAUUAACAUGAGGGAGAAUAUUUUAUUUCCAGACCCUAUCACUAAGCUCUCAAGUGAUCUUGGAAAAGUCAUUCAUCCUAUGAUCAAGAGGAAUUAUGAAGGUGUCUCUCUAGUACUUGGUUGAUAGAGCUCUGGACCACACAGAACUGAUGCCCUUGUGAAUUCAUCAGGACCCAUGUAUUAUUUAUGGGCCAGUAAGUCAUCAUUAUGUAAGGAGUAAGCAAACUGGAGACUGCUAAAUUUAGAGUAAAUUCCAAAUUAGCUUAAAUAAUAUAUGCCUGGCAAAUGGGACCCUUUUGUGUAGCAAAAAGCUGCCUCUAGGAAAGACUCAGCAAGAGUCUCUGGGGCUAGAGGCCAUUGACAAAGAAAGCUCUUUUGUUUUCUUACCAUUCUAUUAUAGUGCCCAUUAAGUUCCAAGUAGCCUAACUGAAUCCAGUCUCUCCUGGCACAGCUUAAGAGUGAAACCGGGAACUCCUGCUACUCAGCAUAUGGUUAACAUGUGUGAAUAGUGGGAUGAAGUGUUACCAGAGGGACAGCUAGAACUCCAAGAAAAAUGAAGGUAAAAACAAAAGAGAGAGGAGGAUGACUGGCUGGGGACAGAGUUAUUAUCACUGUAUAUUUAUUGUGGCCAACAAUGCACUGUUCUGCUCAGUAUUGAGCAGAGAAAUUGGCUAUAGUUCCUGCUCAGUGGGCUCAAGAUUGAUUCAGAGAUCUGUUCUCAGGAAGGGUCUUCUCAGUGGGAAAAAGAUAAAGUGACUGGGGAACUCUAAUUAUUCUUUUCAUAUUAUUGGGGUUUGAGCCAUAACUAAGGUAGGGUGAUCAGAGGUUUGAGCCAGGGAACUGACAUUGGGACAAAAGUGAAAGCAAUGUUUGUUUUCUCCCCACAAGAUUACUCCCUCACUGAAAUUUUCCAUCAGCUUGUGCCCAUGUAAUGAUAUUUGCUAGCCCAAUCUGGAGGGCCUUCUUACUCCUUUCUAGACUUUCUUCUCAACCUCUAGAAAAUCACUAGACAGAGUAGACAAGGCAUGGAGGAAAAGCUUUCCAUCUUGACAUUGUCCUUUUGGACUGUUUUCUCUGUCUUUCUGCCUCCCUUUUUUUGCCUCACCUGAAAAAUUUCCUACUUAUGGUCAUGAUUGAGCUAUUAUGUCCAGCACUAGGGGUCUUUGUUUCUUUAUGGUUAUGAUCUAGAGUUGUAACAAAAAUUUUGGGUUUACUACUUAAGAACUAAAGAUAUCUGAAGGUAUAAUUGUCCUCUCUAUCUCUCAUUUUCAUUCUUGGAACUCUUAAUCUUACCACUCUCAAACAGGUUUAUUACAGUGCAAUGUCUAUUUUUGUGUCAGACUCUACAGAAACUAUGGAGAAAAUAUGAGAUCAAACCUGUGCUUCCAAGCAGAUUAUGGCUUAAUUAGGGAAGAGAAAAUACAUUCAUAUGCAUUUGUAUUUGGGUAGACACAGGCUUGAGAAUUGGCUUAGUCACUAAAUAAUUGUACUUGUAUGACUUUGACAAAUCAUUUCAUUUUUCUGAGCCUCAAUCAAUGUAUCAGGUAUUUUGCUAAAAGCUGAAGAUUAAAAAAGAGGCAAAAGAUAGUCCCUACCCUCAAGGAGUCUGCCAGGAUGAAUAGGAAAUAUUAAAUGGAAAGGAGACAUUAGAAUUUAGAGGCUGAGAAAACCUUUCUUCACUAUUGAUUAGAGAAAUGCAAAUCAACCAGAUAAGCUAAUAAGGUAGACCUAUCAGAUUGGUUAACAUAACAGAAAAGGAAAACACCAAAUACUGGGGGGGGGGGGGAAUUUAUAGAAAAAUAGGGACACUAAUGCACUGUUGGUGGAACUGUCAACUGGUUCAUCCAUUGUGGAGUACAAUUUGUAAUUAUGCUAAAAAGGCUAUAAAAUUGUGUAUAACUUUUGGUUCAGCAAUACUUCUACUAGGUCUGAACCCUCAAAAAAAUAAAAGAAAAAGAAUAAAAGAUAAAAAUCUUUAUAGCAGCUCUUUUUUUUUUGUAAUGGCAAAUAAUUGGAAAUUGAAGGGAUGUCUUUUAAUUCAGAAAUGAUUGAACAAGAUGUGGUAUAUGAUUUGAUGGAAUGCUAUAAGAAAUGACAAGCAUAAUGGUUUCAGAAAAACCUGGGAAGAUUUAUAUUAACUGAUACAAAUGAAGUGAGCAGAACCAGGAGAACAGUGUACACAAUAACAGUAGUGUUAUGUAAUGAUCAACUGAGAAUAACUUAGGUACUUUUAUCAAUAAAAUAAUCCAAGACAAUUCCAAAGGACUCAUCAUAAAAAAGACUAUCGAGAAAGAGAGAGAGAAAGAGAGAGAGAGAGAGAGAGAGAGAGAGAGAGAGAGAAAGGAGAAAGAGACAGAGACACAGAGACAGAGAGAUAGAGACAGAGAGAGACACACAGAGAAGUGAUGAAUUCUGAAAACAAAUUGAAGUAUAUAUUUUUUCACUUUAUUUUUCUUACUCUUUUUUUAAAACAUGACUAUCAUGGAAAUAUGUUUUGCAUGAUUUCACAUGUAUAAUUGACAUUAUAUUGCUUACCUUCUCAAUGGAUUGAGAAUGUGGCUGGCAAGAGGAGAGAAUUUUGAACUAAAAGUUUAAAAGAAAACUGAAUGUCAAAAUAAAUAUUUUUUUAAAAAGAAAAUAUUCAUGUAGAAGAUGGGAUUUUAGUUGGGCUUUAAAAGAAGCCAAAGUAGGACAGUAAGUAGAAAUAAGUAGGGAGAUCAUUUCAGGUAUGAGAGAUGGCUAGUGAAAAUGCCUCACUUUGGUUUUUGUGGAAUAGAGGCUAAGAUUUUACUAAAUAGUAGCAAUAGAGAUAUGGUGUGAUGUGGUAUAACAGAUCUAAGGUUGGCCUUGGAGCCAAGAAGACUAGUGUUAAAAUCCUGCUUUUGAUGAUAAGUUUAAUCUUUCAAGCAGUUCCAAAUCCACCUAAUUAAAUUAUCUCAUCAUCCUGUUGUACAAAAAUUUGUUUCAGUCAUUGUCCUAAGUUGCUCAUAUGAUCAUGAAUAAGUUCCUUCCCCAUUCUCAAUCUCAGUUUUCUCAUCUGCAAAAUGGGGAUAUUGAUAUCCCUAGUACCUAGUUGAGAGAAGAUUUGUAGAUUUUAAAGUGCUCUAUAAACCUCAGUUAUGAUGAUGAUGAUCUCUCAGAUUUCAUCCAGCUAGCAGUCGCUUCUUUCACUUACCACAGGCAGCAGAUGCUAAGUACUAAAUGAGAGAGUAAGUGUUAUACAUGUUCAAAGCAGUAAUAAAUAUACUAGAAGUUCUGUAAUCUGCUCAUAGCCUGUCUUCUUGAGUGCAGUCCAAAUGAUUUUAGAUGAAUUGGGAAUUUAUAAAGGCAUAAAAUAUUGCUAUUAUUAUCUACCUAUAUAUACUGAGGCCAGUUUCAUCCAGGGCUGG